rfam:Heterocephalus glaber contig44459, whole genome shotgun sequence.
GGAUGUGAGGGCAAUCUGGUUGCGAUAUCUGUCAUCCCAUUGAUCACCAGGGUUGAUUCUGCUGAUCUGGCUCACUAGGCAUGUGACCCCUUCCUCCUUCACUGCUCCAUGUGUGUCCCUCCCAAAGUUGUGCACUGGGUAGAAGCAGACAACCACCCCUGAGAGAGGAAGACUGUUUCUUUGGUCAAGGGUACAGGGCAGCUUUGCUCCCCUGCUAGAAUCUCCAAACAAGCUCUCAAGAAAUAAACAAAAUCUUGAACAUAGUCCACCUUAACAAAUUCUCUGAGGUUUACUUCACAAAUAAUCUACAAGA